AUUGAACGCUGGCGGCAGGCCUAACACAUGCAAGUCGAACGAGUGGCGGACGGGUGAGUAAUGUCUGGGAAACUGCCUGAUGGAGGGGGAUAACUACUGGAAACGGUAGCUAAUACCGCAUACCAUCGGAUGUGCCCUGAUGGGAUUAGCUAGUAGGUGGGGUAAAGGCUCACCAAGGCGACGAUCCCUAGCUGGUCUGAGAGGCUGACCGUCCACACUGGAACUGAGACACGGUCCAGACUCCUACGGGAGGCAGCAGUGGGGAAUAUUGCACAAUGGGCGCAAGCCGUAUGCAGCCAUGCCGCGUGUAUGAAGAAGGCCUUCGGGUUGUAAAGUACUUUCAGCGGGGAGGCGUUACCCGCAGAAGAAGCAACGGCUAACUCCGUGCCAGCAGCCGCGGUAAUUC
rnacentral:rRNA from 1 species